rnacentral:rRNA from 1 species
GCAUCGAUGAAGAACGCAGCUAAUUGCGCGUCAA